rnacentral:rRNA from 1 species
UUAAGCGACUAAGCGUACACGGUGGAUGCCCUGGCAGUCAGAGGCGAUGAAGGACGUGCUAAUCUGCGAAAAGCGUCGGUAAGGUGAUAUGAACCGUUAUAACCGGCGAUGUCCGAAUGGGGAAACCCAGUGCAAUUCGUUGCACUAUCGUUAACUGAAUACAUAGGUUAACGAGGCGAACCGGGGGAACUGAAACAUCUAAGUACCCCGAGGAAAAGAAAUCAACCGAGAUUCCCCCAGUAGCGGCGAGCGAACGGGGAGCAGCCCAGAGUCUGAAUCAGCUUGUGUGUUAGUGGAACGGUCUGGAAAGUCCGACGGUACAGGGUGAUAGUCCCGUACACCAAAAUGCACAGGUUGUGAACUCGAAGAGUAGGGCGGGACACGUGGUAUCCUGUCUGAAUAUGGGGGGACCAUCCUCCAAGGCUAAAUACUCCUGACUGACCGAUAGUGAACCAGUACCGUGAGGGAAAGGCGAAAAGAACCCCGGCGAGGGGAGUGAAAAAGAACCUGAAACCGUGUACGUACAAGCAGUGGGAGCACCUUCGGGUGUGACUGCGUACCUUUUGUAUAAUGGGUCAGCGACUUAUAUUCUGUAGCAAGGUUAACCGUAUAGGGGAGCCGCAGGGAAACCGAGUCUUAACUGGGCGUUAAGUUGCAGGGUAUAGACCCGAAACCCGGUGAUCUAGCCAUGGGCAGGUUGAAGGUUGGGUAACACUAACUGGAGGACCGAACCGACUAAUGUUGAAAAAUUAGCGGAUGACUUGUGGCUGGGGGUGAAAGGCCAAUCAAACCGGGAGAUAGCUGGUUCUCCCCGAAAGCUAUUUAGGUAGCGCCUCGUGAACUCAUCUUCGGGGGUAGAGCACUGUUUCGGCUAGGGGGUCAUCCCGACUUACCAACCCGAUGCAAACUACGAAUACCGAAGAAUGUUAUCACGGGAGACACACGGCGGGUGCUAACGUCCGUCGUGAAGAGGGAAACAACCCAGACCGCCAGCUAAGGUCCCAAAGUCAUGGUUAAGUGGGAAACGAUGUGGGAAGGCACAGACAGCCAGGAUGUUGGCUUAGAAGCAGCCAUCAUUUAAAGAAAGCGUAAUAGCUCACUGGUCGAGUCGGCCUGCGCGGAAGAUGUAACGGGGCUAAACCAUGCACCGAAGCUGCGGCAGCGACACUAUGUGUUGUUGGGUAGGGGAGCGUUCUGUAAGCCUGCGAAGGUGUGCUGUGAGGCAUGCUGGAGGUAUCAGAAGUGCGAAUGCUGACAUAAGUAACGAUAAAGCGGGUGAAAAGCCCGCUCGCCGGAAGACCAAGGGUUCCUGUCCAACGUUAAUCGGGGCAGGGUGAGUCGACCCCUAAGGCGAGGCCGAAAGGCGUAGUCGAUGGGAAACAGGUUAAUAUUCCUGUACUUGGUGUUACUGCGAAGGGGGGACGGAGAAGGCUAUGUUAGCCGGGCGACGGUUGUCCCGGUUUAAGCAUGUAGGCUGGUUGUCCAGGCAAAUCCGGAUAAUCAAGGCUGAGGUGUGAUGACGAGGCACUACGGUGCUGAAGUAACAAAUGCCCUGCUUCCAGGAAAAGCCUCUAAGCAUCAGGUAACAUCAAAUCGUACCCCAAACCGACACAGGUGGUCAGGUAGAGAAUACCAAGGCGCUUGAGAGAACUCGGGUGAAGGAACUAGGCAAAAUGGUGCCGUAACUUCGGGAGAAGGCACGCUGGUGUGUAGGUGAAGCCCCUGCGGGUGGAGCUGAGACCAGUCGAAGAUACCAGCUGGCUGCAACUGUUUAUUAAAAACACAGCACUGUGCAAACACGAAAGUGGACGUAUACGGUGUGACGCCUGCCCGGUGCCGGAAGGUUAAUUGAUGGGGUUAUCCGUAAGGAGAAGCUCUUGAUCGAAGCCCCGGUAAACGGCGGCCGUAACUAUAACGGUCCUAAGGUAGCGAAAUUCCUUGUCGGGUAAGUUCCGACCUGCACGAAUGGCGUAAUGAUGGCCAGGCUGUCUCCACCCGAGACUCAGUGAAAUUGAACUCGCUGUGAAGAUGCAGUGUACCCGCGGCAAGACGGAAAGACCCCGUGAACCUUUACUAUAGCUUGACACUGAACAUUGAGCCUUGAUGUGUAGGAUAGGUGGGAGGCUUUGAAGCGUGGACGCCAGUCUGCGUGGAGCCAACCUUGAAAUACCACCCUUUAAUGUUUGAUGUUCUAACGUUGGCCCCUUACCGGGGUUGCGGACAGUGUCUGGUGGGUAGUUUGACUGGGGCGGUCUCCUCCCAAAGCGUAACGGAGGAGCACGAAGGUUAGCUAAUCCUGGUCGGACAUCAGGAGGUUAGUGCAAUGGCAUAAGCUAGCUUGACUGCGAGCGUGACGGCGCGAGCAGGUGCGAAAGCAGGUCAUAGUGAUCCGGUGGUUCUGAAUGGAAGGGCCAUCGCUCAACGGAUAAAAGGUACUCCGGGGAUAACAGGCUGAUACCGCCCAAGAGUUCAUAUCGACGGCGGUGUUUGGCACCUCGAUGUCGGCUCAUCACAUCCUGGGGCUGAAGUAGGUCCCAAGGGUAUGGCUGUUCGCCAUUUAAAGUGGUACGCGAGCUGGGUUUAGAACGUCGUGAGACAGUUCGGUCCCUAUCUGCCGUGGGCGCUGGAGAAUUGAGGGGGGCUGCUCCUAGUACGAGAGGACCGGAGUGGACGCAUCACUGGUGUUCGGGUUGUCAUGCCAAUGGCACUGCCCGGUAGCUAAAUGCGGAAGAGAUAAGUGCUGAAAGCAUCUAAGCACGAAACUUGCCCCGAGAUGAGUUCUCCCUGAGACUUUAAGUCUCCUGAAGGAACGUUGAAGACGACGACGUUGAUAGGCCGGGUGUGUAAGCGCAGCGAUGCGUUGAGCUAACCGGUACUAAUGAACCGUGAGGCUUAACCUU